AUUGAACGCUGGCGGCAUGGCUAAUGCAUGCAAGUCGAACGAAAGCCCUUCGGGGCGAAAGUGGCGAAAGGGCGAGUAAUACGAUCGAACGUACCCCAAGGUGGAGGAUAGUGUCGGGAAACUGACGGUAAUACUCCAUGUGCUCUUCGGAGGAAAGCUUUGGCGCCUCGGGAGCGGCGAUCGUCCUAUCAGGUAGUUGGUGAGGUAAUGGCUCACCAAGCCGAAGACGGGUAGCGGUGUGAGAGCAUGACCCGCCGCAUCGGGACUGAGACACUGCCCGGACUCCUACGGGAGGCAGCAGUGGGGAAUAUUGCACAAUGGGCGAAAGCCUGAUGCAGCGACGCCGCGUGAGUGAAGAAGUAUUUCGGUAUGUAAAGCUCUAUCAGCAGGGAAGAAAAUGACGGUACCUGACUAAGAAGCCCGGCUAACUACGUG
rnacentral:rRNA from 1 species